GAUGAACGCUGGCGGCGUGCCUAAUACAUGCAAGUCGAGCGAACAGACGAGGAGCUUGCUCCUCUGACGUUAGCGGCGGACGGCUGAGUAACACGUGGAUAACCUACCUAUAAGACUGGGAUAACUUCGGGAAACCGGAGCUAAUACCGGAUAAUAUAUUGAACCGCAUGGUUCAAUAGUGAAAGACGGUUUUGCUGUCACUUAUAGAUGGAUCCGCGCCGCAUUAGCUAGUUGGUAAGGUAACGGCUUACCAAGGCAACGAUGCGUAGCCGACCUGAGAGGGUGAUCGGCCACACUGGAACUGAGACACGGUCCAGACUCCUACGGGAGGCAGCAGUAGGGAAUCUUCCGCAAAGGGCGAAAGCUUGACGGAGCAACGCCGCGUGAGUGAUGAAGGUCUUCGGAUCGUAAAACUCUGUUAUUAGGGAAGAACAAAUGUGUAAGUAACUAUGCACGUCUUGACGGUACCUAAUCAGAAAGCCACGGCUAACUACGUG
rnacentral:rRNA from 1 species